rnacentral:lncRNA from 1 species
GGCCCCCUUGCCCGGCGACCAUGGCGUUGCGAUUGUAGGAGCCGAGCUCCCCAACGCAAACCACCACUGGCCAAACAGAUGAACCCACGACUCUAGCCUCAGCGUCUCCGACAGCACCGCCUCGAGUAUCGUCCAGCCACUUAGCGGUGUCUCUGUCGUGCGAUUUCGCUGCUGAAUUGAGCGUGAGCAUCCAUAAGAACCACCCUGAGCGAGGUAGGAAUUUUAGGGCAACGUGUCUGUGG